UUUUUUUUUUUUUCCCAUCAAGGCUGGUUUACAGUCUCUGUCAAUUUUCUGCUGUACAGCAAGGUGACCCAGUCACACACACAUAUAUACAUUCUUUUUCUCACAUUAUCAUGCUCCAUCCUAAGUGACUAGAUAUAGUUCCCAGUGUUAUACAGCAGGAUCUCAUUGCUGAUCCAUCCAUUUUUCUCAAGUCGGCAUAUUUUUCUCAGGCUGGCUUUGUCCUUGGCGUUGAAACCAUGAACUCUUCCUCAUCCCCAGUUUAACCAUCGGGGAGAAACCAACUCCAGCUGCAAAACCCUCUAAGAAUAAUUCAGCUGCGCUGAUGAGAGUCAGGUACUACCUCCACGCCUGGGCAUUGAGGGUCUUUCUCUGCAGUCACUCUAGUUCAUGUCCACCACCAUAUGGGACAAGCGGCAAAUUCCUUCACUUCUCUGAGUCUUGCUUUCUUCAUGGCAAAAUGAAAAACCAGUUCUGGGGCAGGGGCGGGGGGGCAAAUAAUCCCUACUUCAAGGAGCUGUUGAUCAUCUGACAUGGAUAACCCAUGUCGAUGGCUAGCGUGGAGUCCAGUAUCUAUGAAACAUCAGCAGAUGUUCAUUUUCUUUCAAGGUGAAUCUUAAAGUCAAGGAAGAAGUCAGCACAUUAAAAUGGAGAGGACAAUUAUUUGGAGCACAGGGAACCAAAUGGAAAAUGCGCUCCAAUUCAGAGUAAGAGGCACUGCAGGAGUUGUUAAAAGAAGGGUAAUUGAGCCUUAAAUCAUUCCUAUCCAUAAAUCACACUCAAGUCCAUGUUCUAGAUAAAGGGGGUGGGGGCAGCGCUCGCUAUUAGGAACCUGGAAUGUCAAGUGGAUCAAUAGUCUGUAGUUUGUGAGACAUCCUUUGCUAUCCAGGGGCAGAUGAUUUCAGUCAAGUAACAUUUUGGGGCCAACAUAAAAAGAAUUGUAAAAGAUUUGGAUUUUGAUGCACUGAGGAGCAAAGCUGCACUUGCUCAUAUUCCCUUUAUAACUUUUUGGAGUCAGGCCAAUGCACAUACCCAGCUGUGCCGCAGGGUAACCUGAAUUUACUGCUACUUCUAUGAAAAUAUUCCCUGUGUUGUCUUCCCUCACACAUUUCACCCUUAAGAGGAAAAAUGGACCUCAUAUUACACAUUUCUUAGGUAAGAUUACUACACCAGUGGAGAACUGAAAUCAAUAGAUUGUAACAUUUCCAGUCUUCCCAAAGCUUGGAGGGUUUAGGACAGCUCUGAUUUGGCGGGUUUUGCAUUUGAAUCACCUCAACUCAUGCCCACAUCUGCUCUUGAUAAAAUAUGAAAUGUCAUGUCUUCCCCAUGGCAUGGAAUCAAACUCUGCCCCUCUCUACCCCUUUCUUUGAUAGUCUGUGUCAUCCACUCCUCCAGGCUGUAAAUGGCCAGGACGUCUGACACCCACUAGAAUUCACCCAUCCUAGGAUUCCUUUUCCCUAGGAGCACGUGGGCUGCUAAAGGCAGGGACCACACUCCUCAUCACUUGUGAUGUGUGAUGUCCUGCCCAGUGGAAUCUCAACACCUGUCAGAUCCAUCCCACCCCCUUGAGUUUUGACUCAGCCCAGAUCCCGGCCCUAAGACCCAGCUCCUCAACGAAAGUGUCCCUUACUUUCCCAACACACAGACGCAUCCUCCUCCAAGCUCUCACUUAGAGCAUAGGUAAUUUGAUCUUACUCAAAGACUGCCUGGUGUUGCCAUUUCAUCUUUAAGUGCCUAUGUCUGGGGCCUUGCAGUACAUUUGUUCCCUGGUACCGAGCACAAAGCAGAUACAUAAGAGAGGCUCCAGGAAUACACGCAUGCAUGAAUGUGUGAGUGAAUGGAAUGCUUUUCUACACCGCUUAGCAUUUUUUAAUCUUUGGGAAUUGAGGUCUAGGUCAGAUUUAAGUCUAAACUCAGCAGAUUUUGGCUGACUCAACCCCCACUGGGAACUUGUUACACAUGCAAAUUAUCAGCCACCCCCCACACACACAUGCAAAUUAUCAGCCCCACAUACACACAACUACUGAGUCAGAAGCUCUGGGCAUCUGAAUUUUAUCAGAUGAUUCUUUUUUUUUUUUUUUUGCUUUUUAGGGCCACACCUGAGGCAUAUGGAGGUUCCCAGGCUAGGGAUCAAAUCAGAGCUGCAGCUGCUGGCCUAUGGCAGAACCACAGCAAUGCCAGAUCUGAGCCACAUCUGCGACCUACACCACAGCU
rnacentral:lncRNA from 1 species